rnacentral:lncRNA from 1 species
AUGGCAGGUCAUGAAUAAAUCAUCAAAUCUCAUCAUCAGUCAUAUGAUAAAUUCGAUCAGUUUAAGUCCAAUAGUGAUUCCAAAUAAAAAUUCUUUUUCAUCAAUCACACUGCUAUGGUCAUGACUUGUGGACUCAGCUUCUCAAAUCUCAUAGGACUACUCCUCUCUAUCAAGAUCAAUAGAUCUCAUAUAAAUACAUACGUUGCUCGUACAGCUCAACCAACUGAAGCCAACAUCCAUUACA